CCUGAGAAACCCGAAAGAUCGAAUGGGGAGAUUCAUCGUCAGCGAUCCUGGUACGUGUGCGGUUCGCGAUUCCGGGGACUUCGGUCUCAUGGCACGCGUCCGCAUGUUUUUUAUUGCCAGGUAUCGUCGGCGUGCACUUCUCCCCUAGUAGGACGUCGCGACCCGUUGGGUGUCGGUCUACGGCCCGGGUGGGCGCCUGUCACGUGUGCGCUUCGCGGCGUUACGCGGGGCAGACCCCCGGUUGACCUGGCCGGCUGCUCGGCGGUACUCGCACGGUAUCUGGCCGCAAGCAUUUGAACUGCGUCCGGCCCGUCGCAAGCGAGGCAAGUGUUUCCCGGAUGUACGGAUCUAAUGCCGUCACCGGGCCUUGCCAGCUGUUGGUUGACGGUGUCCUAGGACUGGCUAUUGCAAUUAUGAUACCGGUCGGCGACGCUACUGCUUUGGGUACUUUCAGGA
rnacentral:rRNA from 1 species